rnacentral:rRNA from 1 species
CAUCCCAGUUCGGAUCGCAGGCUGCAACCCGCCUGCGUGAAGUUGGAAUCGCUAGUAAUCGCGGAUCAGCAUGCCGCGGUGAAUACGUUCCCGGGCCUUGUACACACCGCCCGUCACACCAUGAGAGUCGGGAACACCCGAAGUCCGUAGCCUAACUGCAAAGGGGGCGCGGCCGAAGGUGGGUUCGAUAAUUGGGGUGAAGUCGUAACAAGGUAGC